rnacentral:lncRNA from 1 species
GGCCAAGCAAGGGAACAAAGAGAAAAAGAGAAGAACAAACCCUAGGAAGGAAAAAUUCAAGAGAAAUUGUUGGAUUUCAAGGAAUCAAGCAAGUAAAGGUAAGAUUUUUUAAUUUUAGCUUGUGAUCUACCUUUCCCAUGCAUUCUUUUCCAUUCUCCAUGGCUGAAAUUCAAGUUUUCAAGAGGGAACCUUUACUGGCCAAACCUAGAGCGAGAAGUUUUGGUGAUGACUUUUGCUAGAUUUCAUAAUAUCCUAGUGUUUUUAGUCAUUUUGUGAUGUUUGGAAGGAAAAACAAUCAAGAAAAUCACAUGUUCUUCAACCACCCUCACUUGGCCGAAUUUUCUAUAGGGCAUGUUGAUGAUGGAUUUGGUUGUAAUUCAUGUUAUUUAGCUAGGAAUUGAUGAAUUAUGAUGUUGGAUAUCGAAACUGGUUAUUGAAAAGUAUAGUUCCUUUAGAAAAUGGCUUGAUGGAAACUAAAAAAACAUAGUAAAUGGACUUGGAUUUGAUUCCUAAUGAUAUAUAUGGAUUUACGAGAUUGUGUAGACAUUGAUUAGUAUGUGAGUUCGAAAUGAGAAUGAAUUUUGAAAAGUGGUGAAGUUAGUCAAAAAUCAAGUUCAUUGUAAUGCUUUGGUGUAUUAGUUUAUUGGGAGUGUAAUGAAUAUAUUUGGAGUUGAAUAAGAUGUUUUGGUUAAAUCAAUGCUGUAUAGUUCAAAUUAGGUCGAAUACAAAUUCAUUCCGAUCACAAUUGAACCUACGUAGAACACCAUCUUUAAGUGACUAUCCAAACAUUUCUCAUUUAACUUCAUGCAUUCAUAUAGAGUCUGAAAUAGUUUUAUAACAAUUUGACACCAAUAUAUUGAAUUACGUGUAGUGUAUUAUGUAUAGGUGGUGAGCCCUCUAGUAAGGGUAAGGAUAUAGUACCCGAGGAUCAAGAAUAAGAGUAUUCCAUACUCCCGUUAUUGUGAGUAAUUAGACUUUCAUCUUAACUAUCUAAAGUAGUUUAUACUCGUUUUUAUGUUUUAAAGAAAAAUGAAUUUAAAUUGCAAACUAUUAUGUUUUAUAAUUGAAGUGUUGAUUAAACAAAAUGAGAUUUAUAACUUGUUUUGAAAUUGAAUACUAGUUUUGGAAAUUGAGUAAGUGGGGACUGUAUAUUUGUGUUAUAUAUAUGUUUUGACAUAUGGUUUGAAUUGAUGGCUUAUGACAACGUGAUGGUAAGCAUGGUUGGAUUUGUGUUUGUGUGGAAUAUGUGAACUGUUUUGCUUUGCCUUGACAGGUUGGUAAUAUUAUAUUGGCCAUGUCAUGUUGUCGGAAAUUUUAUUGAAUUGGUGGGUUAUUUGAUUAGCUUACUACAGUGGGUGGGUUUUCGUGGACCAACCUAUUGAAGGGGCACGGUAAACUCGGUUAUAUUUUACCUUGGUACGAAAGGCGCGAAGGGUAUCUCCUAAGGUAACAUUAGAGUUCACUUCACGCUAAACCACCAUGUGAAGGUGAAACUCAACCAACACCAAGGAACGACUGUGUUUUAAACGUAAGAACUUGUUUUAUGUGCAUAUGUUAUUUUAACAACCUUGGCGGACUCGGCUGGAUGCCCUCGGCCAAGGUGUCACCGAGUAUGAGUUUUAGGCAUGAGCCAAGUUUUUAAGAGAGUCAUAAGCCUUGUUGAUUAUUUUUGAUGAAAUUUAAUUGAUUUAUAUGGGUUGAAAUAAGAUUUGAUAUUAUGAAUCAUAUUAUACUGAGAUGUUUUAAAUUGUCUCCAUUUACUCGGCUUUAGAUGUUAUAGAUGAAAUUUGCUUACUCACUAGGUUUAUAAGAACUCACCCCUUCUUUUUUACCCAAUUCAGGCUCAAGAUAGUCUGUAGAUAGCCGAUUUUGUCAAGGUUUGCUUUUGGAUUUGCAUCCUUAAAAAUCAAAGGUCUACAAUCUUGUAUGUUUUCGAUUAUUUUGGGGUCCACAUGUCAUUGUAGAAUAUUUUUGUAUACUUGGUUUAGUGUGCUA